GAAAGGGUAGGACCCUAUAAGCAGAGGACGGACCCUUCUGAUUGGACAGGCGGACUGUCUGUCAACAGGAAAUGAGGACUCGCUCGCUUGCUAGACCUUCAUUCCGCGCGAAAAUACGGCGAAAAAAAGAAUGUUUGUCGUCAAAAGUUGUUGGCGAACCAACCGAUUUUUUGCAGUGGUUGUGGACAGAUACUUGGAAAAAGUCUGGAGUCUUUGGCUCAACCCACCGAUGGACCAACUUCAAUUAAUCUUGGCUUGAUGACUGCUCAGAAGGGUGUUUUAAAGCCCUCACGUGGGAAAACCAUUCCCUUAUCAACCGUCUCUGACAUCACCGCUCAAAGUCUUCUUCAUCACAGUGUGAAGAAAAUGAGGGACUUUAACCAAGACCUGGGUGAAGGAGCCUUCAUCCUUCUGUAUCCAGAUGCAUCUGAAGUCAUCAAUACCCCUGGGACACAAAGACCUUUUAUUCUAGAAAAAUAUAAAGCAGAAUUAGGCAAACCAUAUUCAAGGAUCACAAUUUUUAUCUGCCCAAAGACGGUCUUUGAAGAAGGUAUCCAUUUAUUUCUGUGGCUUGAUGUUUCACCUCUGAUACAUACGUAAAUAGGUUUAAAAAUAGUUCCCCAUGGUGUUGUCUGUAUUCAUGUUCAAAUUACUGCAAGGAGUUGAGAAGAGAAGUUGGAGUUGUAGAUGCAUAAAAAAACCAAGUGUUUCUGGUGCAGUGCCUCAAACCAGUUUUCCAUUCAUCACUUUCUUCUGGAGUUAACUUCUUUUUAAAUGUUUGUCUUUGACUGACACCAAUCAAGCUAACUUUAAUUGUUCCAGUUGGAAAAGUGUCUGACAUUUCUGACUCUGACACAGAGAUUGUGAUAAAAAGAGCCCUCACAACAUUUGAGCUAGCUGACACGUUGGUGAGUGCUAUGUAAAGCAUGUUGUUUUAUUUUCUAUCGUAUGCUUUUUUUUAAUGAAAACGUCUUUUGUUUGCUGUGUUAAGUUCUGAUCAACCCCACUGUCUUUGUAAUGCUUUACUACAGCCAUGUGAACCUGUGCAUGAAAGCAGUGCAAUACAGACGAAUACAGAGGAUAUCCGUCCAAGUACCUCCGGAUGUCCUCGAAUGGCGAGAACAUAUUACAGCAACUACACAGACCUGUAUGCGCCUAUCGUCAGUGAUGACGACGACGAUGAAGAUGAAGUUCUAACUGUCAAAGAAAAUAAUGAGGCAUCUCCUAGAACCAAUCAAAGUCAACAGAUUCCACGUGUCCAGAUCUAAUGUAUGGGAUGGUGCUGUCAGAGGUUUUCAGCGUUGCACGUACUCCGAGGAGAAUGACAUGUUUGUGAAGUUUACCGAUGAAGAAGGCCUAGAUACCGGCGGGCCGAGGCGGGAAUUCCUCACGCUUCUGAUGAAUGAUCUGAUCUUUAACGGACCUCCAGCAAGCCGUUACCUGGUGUACAACUCUACAGGUGUCUGUUUUUCAUGGAAUUUCUUUUUUUUUGUCCAAAUAUUUUGAUGAAAGUAUUAUUUUUGUUGUACAUUAAGUCACACUUUCUGCCAAAUUUAAGCACUUUAAAAUAAGGGUUAAGGCUGGACACGACCCCUUUAGUCUUGUUAAACUUUCUGGCCAUAGUCCCAUGAUUUACCACUUGAAUGCUUUAAAAGUGACUGCAGAUUAGAUUGUGUGACAUUCACAAAUGGUAAAGCAUGUUCAGUGAAAAGCUUGUUUGUGGGUUGAGUGUUUUGACAGUGAAGUAGCUCUUACUGAUAGUCAGAGAUUUAAGGUUGAAACAUAUUAUGUCAUCAUUGACAGACUUUGUUUGUGCCCAUCGAAGCCUACACACAUGCGUGUGACUUCUUUGGAGUUUGAUUUGAGGGGGACUGCAAUGAUUGUGAUGUGCGUGAAAGCGCUGCUAAGCUGUGCUCCACUUAUCCGACAGAUCUGGAUAGUUCCUUCUCAGACAAACUUAUUCAGUUCAAGCACUUGACUUCACCUGUACAUCUUCUGCAAGCUCUUGAGAGACAUGGACUUAAGACAACAUUUCCAAAUGUUUAUGUUGCAAUAAGCAUGUUUUUAACCUUGCCUUUGUCUAACUGUGAGAGGUCGUUUUCUGUUUUGAAACGAGUUAAAAAUGAGCUGAGGACCACAAUGUCACAGACACGGCUCUCUGCACGUCGAACAUGAACUUGUUAGUGCCCUUGAUAUUGUACACCAGUUUGCAGAAAAGUCCAGAAAAUGCCACUGUAAGAUGUGUUUGCCAAAUGAAACCAAGCAUUUCAAAUUUAAACAUGCACUUUCCCAUUAUUUAGGAUUAAAAUUGUGUAUGUUGACACAUUAUGUCGCAUUUCUGUAAAUUGUUUAUUGUUGAGAAAAAACAGGCAGAUUUCAAAAUGUUUAUAUUGCACUAUAACUUGAUUGUCCUUGUCCGUGGACUUCCUCUGUGAUGGAUCCAUCAGUUCAAUACAUUUGUGUUGGGAAUAGGUGGUGUUAAAUAAAUAUGGAUGCUUUGAAA